UCAACCCACGGAAAAUGAGAUUUAGUUGUACUGAAAUGAAGAUUCUCCAAGAUGUGAUCAUUGUGUGAAAGACAAAGGUGUAGAAAAAUAAGUGUGACAGAAUGCCACUUAGAAGAUGGAAAGCCCUGCUCUCCAUUCUUCAGGGACCCAUAGUUAUGAAUGCAAAUACACGGAGAGGGUGGAAACCGCUGUCUCCCAGGAAAGAAGGCAGGGAGAGAGAGCACCUCCAAAGGUCUCUAGGUUUGACACAAAGUUUCAGUUUUUACAGAAAAUUAUGCAUGGUUAUCUGCACAAUUUUUAUAUUUGUGUAAUCAAACAUUCAAAGGGAAAGAAAAGACAGUGAGGUGGUAGAACAAUGAGGCUAUAUGCCUCAGUGCCAGCUCAGAUAUCAUUAUUUAGUUUGACAAUUAAGACAAAAGCCCCAACAUCUGCCAAGAUCAGUUACCAUGUACAGAAUAUAAACCUACCCACACUUCACUCAGAUAGGCUGAUAAUAGCAGUAUCACUUAGCUUUUGUUUUAUUGGGUUUAAAAAAAACAAGCCACCACUCCAACAAAAAUAAACCAUCUAUUUAAAACCAUAGCCCUUUUAUUUAGCUCCCAAAUCUGUGGGUCACCUGGGUGAUUUUUCUGAUCUGGGCCAACCAGGCUGCUAUUUGCUGGGUUUACCCACCAGUGUGCAGCCAGCUGGCAGCUAGGCAAUCUAGAAUCAUCUAACUUGUGUCUGGAAUGCGGCACCUUGUUUUCCUUAACGUGGCUCUUAUCCUCCAACAGUCUAGCUCAGGCUUAUUCACGUGGGGGUGUCAGAGUUCCAAGAGAAUUACUGAGAAUGCUAUAAUGCCCCUUGAGGCACAGGCUCUGAAAUUCACACACUGUCACUUCCACGACAUUCCAUUGGCCAAAGCAUGUAGCAAGACCAGCCCAUGUUCAAAUGGUGGGAAAUAGACUCGACUCUAUUCAGUGAAUAAAAAGAACAGCUCCUCUGUGCCAGGCCCUGUGUUAAGCAUUUUACAUACAUUUUCUCAUUAUCUUCUCACAGCAAGCCUGUGAGCAAGGUAUGGGUAUGUAGUUUCACUGAAGCACGCUGGGGGGUCAGGGAAUGGGCUCCACGAGGCCUUUACUCCUCCCACAGACUCUCUCCUGCAGAUGCCUAGAAGCCACCAUUCCUGAUUCCUGAUUUCACCUGCUGUGGGCUGGAUUGUGUCACUCUGAUUCAUGCGGUUAAGCCUGGAUUCCCGGUGUGGCCAUAUUUGGAGUGUGGGAGUAAUAAGGUUAAAUGAGGUCACAGAAUGAGCCCUGAUCUCAUAGGAUUGGUGUCCUUGUACGAGAAGACACCAGAGAGCUCACCCUCUCUCUCCACCAUCCAAGGUCACAGAAGGUGGCCAUCUGCAAGCCAGCAAGAGGGCUCUCAUCGGAAACCAAAUUGGCUGGCACCUUGAUCUUGGACUUCUAAGGCUUCAGACAGUGAGAAAUCAGUGCCUGUUGUCCAAGCCCCCCGUCUCUGGUAUUUUGUUAUGGCAGCCUGAGCACACUAAGACAUCUGUCUGUCCACUUUUAAAAUACAGUGUCCUCGAGCUGAUGGUUACACCCCCUCCUAAUUCUUCAAAGUGCACACGUUGUUUACUGCUCUCUUUCCCAGCAAGCCACACUUCAGUGUAAAGUUCCUAUGCAGCACCAGUCUCCACCCCCAUUUUUCUCUGCUUUUUUAUGAUUCCUCACUGUGCUUCCUCUGCUUAGAAGACACAGGUUUGGCAAGCACUGCUUAGACCCAACAGGUGUGUCCUAAGUCAAAAGAGAACAUCUCAACAGGAAGAGAAAUGGGUUUGAAGGCACCUUGACUGUUGUGUCUGCCAGAAACACUUCAAAGAUGACGAAAAUAAAGAGGAAACAGCACUCCACCUGGCAGUGCACAGGAAUGGCAUCUUAACCAGUCAAUCUGGAAUUACCUGGUCAGCACUACUGAGAUAAUCUGCCUAACAGACCCCUGCCUCGCCCUAAAGGAAGAUGACUUUGCCUGAAACACGCCACUCUUUGCUCGUCACUUGCUUGUCCUGCUCCCUUCGGCUUCUCAAAGUCUCCAAUUUGGUGGCAAUGGUGGUAUCUGAAAGAGACUUCCUACAGCUUUGGGGACUAUGAGAAGCAAAGCAUGGUCCUCAUGAACCCUUUGAGGUCUCUGUCUUUCUCAUCAUUUCCAAGGGCCGUGGAUAAGUUCCUCUGGGUUCUGAGCUCCCCUGUCUUUCCAUUGAGCUCCUGGUCUAAUUGUCUUUCCAGUCUACAAUCCCAAUUUGAUCAGAAACCCACCCCUUGGCUUAGUCUCCAGAUUCCAUGUUGAGAACUGCUGGUCAUUCAAUCCAGUUCCCCAUUUGUUUGGAAUCCCCGUCCACCGUCCCACUUGUUGAGGUCUGCUGGCUCAAGCCUUUCCCUAGUGCACAGGUGCACAUUAGGAAUGGCUGGUGGUGCACACAGGGGCUUCUAUUGGCCAAUCCAUUGUAAACAUCUGAUUAGUUAUCACUUGUGUUAAGGUGCACAUGAGGUUGUUGUUAAAGGGAAUCUCAAAAGCCAAAAGCCACCAAAUUUGACAGGCAUAGGUUGAGCACUUAACAGCUGUUAGAGUGCUUGCUACCUAACUCUAAGAUUCCUGUGUUAGGAUAAAUUGGUGACGGAAUAGGUUAGAUCAACACUAGCUCACCUCCCAACUCAAGACAAUUUUUGUGCAACAAAGGACACUGUAAGAUGCUACACAAUCCCCAACCCAGCAGCGUGUCUCUCUUGGGUAUUAGUUUGUCUUUGAGAGCCCCAAAGGCCUAGCCUCUGAAAAAAAAUGGGAUCCUUAAAUUCCAAAGACUUGCAUGUACCACCUCCCAGCACCUCUGCUUAUUUUAUGUUUAGGAACGAUAGUUCCAGAAUUGGAGAGAUCUACGAAAAUGGCAAAAUCUUAUUAGAAACAGCCUAGAAUUAUAAUGGCCAUUUAUGGAGGAUGUUCCAAUAAGACAAGGUCAUUCAUCAAGCAAGGGUUCCCCGAUCAAGCAGACAGAAUGGGGUACCUAUUUAAGUGGUAUGCAGCAGCUCCCAAAAGGCUUAAUUUAAAAAAGUAAUUGCAAAAGGCUAAUGAAAAAAUCAAAGACUCAAGAAGUACCUAAAACAAAAGAUAGUAACAUUGACGUGAUUCCUAUUGCUCCCCUCUCUCUUGCUUUACUUGAGUCCAUGGAUUCUACUUAUUCUCUCUCUGAACUGCCUUUCUACUCUGAAGAGACUAUUAAAUAGGUACCUUUAAGAUAAAGCCACUUGGGGUUGCAGGAGGUCCAACUCAGGUAUCUUUCACUCCACAGUCAAAGACUAAACUAAGAGCCACAAUUGAAUUUCCUAAACCCAAGGAGAAUCCCCAGAAGUUUUCUGAAGGAUUUGGAGUCCUUACCAGGCUGCCAGAUCCUUAUCAGCUUGUGCACAUUCUGAUAGGACCUGGUGAAGCGCCAGAGAUGGAUGUGGGGCAGCAGAAUGGUGUAACCCUGAGGAUGACAUCUGAGCACUUCAGUUAUUGACAUGGACCAGAAAAAACUUGCAAGAGAGCAACUGAUCCUUUAAAAGCCAUUCCUUGAGUCUUUCCUGCCUGCACUGGUUUCUCUAACAUUCAAACCUGCAAACAAAAGAAAGAUGAAUUUGUGGCAGACUUUAAAGCCCAUUUGGAAGCUCUCUGGUAUUCCUGGCUCCAUACAAUAAAUGAGGUCACCCAACCUGCUUUACAUUUCCUAUUUGUAAACGGAUUAUCUCUUGAGAUUACUGGAUCGAUAAGAAGGCAGAAAAUGUGAUGGGAGACCACUGGUCUGAGUGAACUCAUAACCAUAACUGAGCACUUGAAACAAGACCACAAACACAAGUCCCUCAAGCUAUUAGUCUUACACCUGCGAUAGCUCUAAGGCCAAAAACCUAAAAUAGCACCUGGGGUCUGUCAUCAAAAUGCUAGCCCAGGGGAGGCAACCUGAGUGUCUAUGAUAAAUGAAUGGAUAAAGAAGAUAUGAUAUAUAUACACAUAUGUAUAUCACAUACACAUAGAUAUACACACACAAUGGAAUAUUAGCUAUAAAAAAGA